UAGUCGCUGCGUUGUUCGUUUUUAAUAUAUGUUUCAACCUUUAUGCUUAUAUAGGGAGUUUAAUAUUGAGAUUUAGAUGUCUAGCCUUCAUUACGUAGAGGAAGACAGAAGAAUCUUUGCGAACACCCACUUUUAGGAGUGGUGGUUUGGAACUCUAUUAUGAAACGGCAUCGCGGCAUUUAA
rnacentral:other from 1 species